rnacentral:misc_RNA from 1 species
AGACCCUGUCCCAGAGCAACAAAGUGCCAAUGAUUUGGAUCAUGACUCCGAUCCCAAACACCGAGGAGCCGACGAUUUGGAUCCUGACCCUGACCCAAAGCGACAAGGAGCCGACGAUUUGGAUCAACACCCUGAUCUCAAGCACCAAGGAGCCGACGAUUUGGAUCAAGUCCUACAUCCCAAGCACCAAGGUGCCUGGUUGAUUUGGAUCAUGAUCCCGAUCCGGAGCUCCAGGGCGCCGAGGAUUUCGAUCAAGAUCCCGAUUUGAAGCACCAAGGAGCCUAGGUUAUGGAUAAAGACCCCGAUCUGAAGCGACAAGGAGGAAAGGAUUUAGAUCAAGACUCUGAUCACAAGCACCAAGGCGCCGAGGAAUUGGAUCAAGAUCAAGUAGGCUAUAUUAUUAUAUGUUUCCCACACCGUUCAGGGCAUUUUGGUGGUUGUAUCGGCUUUUUGUUGCUUGCUUGGUGUUAGUGCCAAGGGAGUGGCUGGAAGCUAGGUCGUCCUCUGGAAUGCUUGUUGUAAAGGUGUAUGAGUUGUGUUUGGCUUGUUACGGGUGUUUGUUGGCUGCUUGUGCAGGAACUUUCAUGCGUUCAAGCCUCUUCAGUUGUGCUACAAGGCCUUGUUUGUCUUGUGCUUACGGUGGGUUUCCUGUGUUGCAUACCUUAUCAAGGGCAUCGUGUGGCUCGAUCGAAGUACAUAUUCGUAAUGCGC